rnacentral:rRNA from 1 species
UACGUAGGGGGCAAGCGUUGUCCGGAAUCAUUGGGCGUAAAGCGCGUGUAGGCGGCCCGAUAAGUCCGCUGUGAAAGUCCAGGGCUCAACCCUGGAAUGCCGGUGGAUACUGUCGGGCUCGAGUCCGGAAGAGGCGAGUGGAAUUCCUGGUGUAGCGGUGGAAUGCGCAGAUAUCAGGAGGAACACCAAUAGCGAAGGCAGCUCGCUGGGACGGUACUGACGCUGAGGCGCGAAAGCGUGGGGAGCGAACAGG